UACAGAGGGUGCGAGCGUUGUCCGGAAUCACUGGGCGUAAAGGGCGCGUAGGCGGUCCGGUCAGCGUGCGGUGAAAGCCCGGGGCUCAACCCCGGGUCGGCCGUGCGAACUGCUGGACUGGAGCACUGUAGAGGCAGGUGGAAUUCCGGGUGUAGCGGUGGAAUGCGUAGAGAUCCGGAAGAACACCGGUGGCGAAGGCGGCCUGCUGGGCAGUAGCUGACGCUGAUGCGCGACAGCGUGGGGAGCAAACAGG
rnacentral:rRNA from 1 species